rnacentral:tRNA from 1 species
GCAGUGAUGGUUCAGUGGUAGAAUUCUCACCUUCCAUGUGGGAGAUCCAGGUUCGAUUCCUGCCAAUGCA